UGAACGCUGGCGGCAGGCCUAACACAUGCAAGUCGAGCGGAAACGAUGGUAGCUUGCUACCAGGCGUCGAGCGGCGGACGGGUGAGUAACGCGUGAGAAUCUGCCCAUUUGUGGGGGAUAACUCGGGGAAACUCGAGCUAAUACCGCAUAAUCCCUACGGGGGAAAGCAGGGGACCUUCGGGCCUUGUGCAGAUGGAUGAGCUCGCGUCGGAUUAGCUUGUUGGUGAGGUAAAGGCUCACCAAGGCGACGAUCCGUAGCUGGUCUGAGAGGAUGAUCAGCCACACCGGGACUGAGACACGGCCCGGACUCCUACGGGAGGCAGCAGUGGGGAAUCUUGGACAAUGGGGGCAACCCUGAUCCAGCCAUGCCGCGUGUGUGAAGAAGGCCUUCGGGUUGUAAAGCACUUUCAGUAGGGAGGAAGGCUUACCGCUAAUAACGGUGAGUACUUGACGUUACCUACAGAAGAAGCACCGGCUAAUUUCGUGCCAGCAGCCGCGGUAAUACGAAAGGUGCGAGCGUUAAUCGGAAUUACUGGGCGUAAAGCGCGCGUAGGCGGUUUGUUAAGUCAGAUGUGAAAGCCCCGGGCUCAACCUGGGAAUUGCAUUUGAAACUGGCAGGCUAGAGUGCAGUAGAGGGAGGUGGAAUUUCCGGUGUAACGGUGAAAUGCGUAGAGAUCGGAAGGAACACCAGUGGCGAAGGCGGCCUCCUGGACUGACACUGACGCUGAGGUGCGAAAGCGUGGGGAGCAAACAGGAUUAGA
rnacentral:rRNA from 1 species